CUGGCUGUUUUGGCCGUCGAGCACCCCCCUCUCUCUUUCUUUAGUUUGCUUUCGCUUUAGUUUUUUCAGUUUUUUCAGUUAUUUCCUUCUAUUUCUUGUGUUUUUGUUUUAGUCUCUUACUGCGGAGUUUAGUUUCUCUCCUUGAAUGGGGAUUUUGUUGUGUUGUAUUGGUUAGACAGAUCAGAUCUUGUACUAGCUCUGUGAGGGAUGUUUCAAAGAUAUGAGAUGGUUGAAUUUGCAGUAGCUCUUCCCAGGCUUGGCCAAUAGUUGGAUUUUAUAGAUGGGUUACCAGAUGUGAAAGACGAGUCUCUUGGAAAUGAGUCUUGUAAUUGGCAACGAGUCUCUUGGAAAUGAGUCUUGUAAUUGGCAACGAGUCUCUUGGAAAUGAGUCUUGUAAUUGGCA
rnacentral:misc_RNA from 1 species